AAAUUGAAGAGUUUGAUCAUGGCUCAGAUUGAACGCUGGCGGCAGGCCUAACACAUGCAAGUCGAACGGUAACAGGAAGAAGCUUGCUUCUUUGCUGACGAGUGGCGGACGGGUGAGUAAUGUCUGGGAAACUGCCUGAUGGAGGGGGAUAACUACUGGAAACGGUAGCUAAUACCGCAUAACGUCGCAAGACCAAAGAGGGGGACCUUCGGGCCUCUUGCCAUCAGAUGUGCCCAGAUGGGAUUAGCUAGUAGGUGGGGUAACGGCUCACCUAGGCGACGAUCCCUAGCUGGUCUGAGAGGAUGACCAGCCACACUGGAACUGAGACACGGUCCAGACUCCUACGGGAGGCAGCAGUGGGGAAUAUUGCACAAUGGGCGCAAGCCUGAUGCAGCCAUGCCGCGUGUAUGAAGAAGGCCUUCGGGUUGUAAAGUACUUUCAGCGGGGAGGAAGGGGGUAAAGUUAAUACCUUUGCUCAUUGACGUUACCCGCAGAAGAAGCACCGGCUAACUCCGUGCCAGCAGCCGCGGUAAUACGGAGGGUGCAAGCGUUAAUCGGAAUUACUGGGCGUAAAGCGCACGCAGGCGGUUUGUUAAGUCAGAUGUGAAAUCCCCGGGCUCAACCUGGGAACUGCAUCUGAUACUGGCAAGCUUGAGUCUCGUAGAGGGGGGUAGAAUUCCAGGUGUAGCGGUGAAAUGCGUAGAGAUCUGGAGGAAUACCGGUGGCGAAGGCGGCCCCCUGGACGAAGACUGACGCUCAGGUGCGAAAGCGUGGGGAGCAAACAGGAUUAGAUACCCUGGUAGUCCACGCCGUAAACGAUGUCGACUUGGAGGUUGUGCCCUUGAGGCGUGGCUUCCGGAGCUAACGCGUUAAGUCGACCGCCUGGGGAGUACGGCCGCAAGGUUAAAACUCAAAUGAAUUGACGGGGGCCCGCACAAGCGGUGGAGCAUGUGGUUUAAUUCGAUGCAACGCGAAGAACCUUACCUGGUCUUGACAUCCACGGAAGUUUUCAGAGAUGAGAAUGUGCCUUCGGGAACCGUGAGACAGGUGCUGCAUGGCUGUCGUCAGCUCGUGUUGUGAAAUGUUGGGUUAAGUCCCGCAACGAGCGCAACCCUUAUCCUUUGUUGCCAGCGGUCCGGCCGGGAACUCAAAGGAGACUGCCAGUGAUAAACUGGAGGAAGGUGGGGAUGACGUCAAGUCAUCAUGGCCCUUACGACCAGGGCUACACACGUGCUACAAUGGCGCAUACAAAGAGAAGCGACCUCGCGAGAGCAAGCGGACCUCAUAAAGUGCGUCGUAGUCCGGAUUGGAGUCUGCAACUCGACUCCAUGAAGUCGGAAUCGCUAGUAAUCGUGGAUCAGAAUGCCACGGUGAAUACGUUCCCGGGCCUUGUACACACCGCCCGUCACACCAUGGGAGUGGGUUGCAAAAGAAGUAGGUAGCUUAACCUUCGGGAGGGCGCUUACCACUUUGUGAUUCAUGACUGGGGUGAAGUCGUAACAAGGUAACCGUAGGGGAACCUGCGGUUGGAUCACCUCCUUA
rnacentral:rRNA from 1 species